AGAACUAGCACAAAGGACUGCAUUCCACUCCUUCAGAGAACCCAUUUACGUUACGCCAGUUGCCCGUGAAUCAGUCCCGGCUGGUGCGGUGCGGCCGGUGUUCGUCUCUCUAGACUCCUGGUUCCUCAUCGUUCCUGGACUCUCAUGACCUUGACAUUUUUGAAGACAUGAGCCAAUCAUUUUUGAUCAAAUGAUCAGCAGGCAGACUGACCAGCUGAAGCUUAUCCACAGAGUCCCCUGACAGAGAGACAUUAUGGUGGGAAAAGGGCAUGAGGAGGUCAGAGUGCGAUGACACACUUUGUAAGAAGGUUAGUCAGCUAUGUCUCCUGAUCUUGGAGAUCUGGCCUUACAUAAGAGAUGCCUUUUGAGGCCCAGCAGUGUGCUUCCGUCUCGUCACCAGACCAAAAGAUCCAGGAGUGACCACUUUGUGGGCUACUUGUGUCCUUCUGCUGUGGCAGGGUUGCUCCUAAUGCAGGUACCCAGGGAGUCCAGUCUUUCCUUCCUUGGCCAGCUGUUUGUAAAUCUGGUAUGGGGAGCCUCAGCACCAUUGACUACAAGGUCUAACAGCAUGCUCCUGUUGCAGUUUUCCUCUUAAUUGGGUUGGUACCCAGUGUAGCUGGUUGCUAGGCUCAGGGGCUUACACCUGUUAUAGUCCUCAGGUCUACAAGGCUGUUGUCAGUUCUCUUAGUAGUGUUGCUGAGUGGGGCUGGCCUUAGGCACAGGAGCACUCAAUUGUUUCAGCCUUUGCAAGGUGGGCCUAAUCCUUUUUAUGGCUAUUUGUGGAGCACAGGUUUUAUGCUGCUGAUAAGCAUCACCCCCACCCCCCACAGGACCACACACAACAUCAACACAGCCCUGGUCUGUGCACACUUCCCAAACCCCUGGAGCAUACCCCUAUGCCCCACUGCAGAGGCCCCCACCUCCCCACCAAUGCCCCCCACAGUUCACCUGGUCCUCACACAGGCUCUGCCCCACAGAGGCAGAUACCCUUGCCUGCCUGUAAAGGAUCAAGAUACCCAGUCAAUGCAGGCCAACAAGUAACCUGAGGGCUUGCUGUUGGGAGGGGCUGGUCCCUAGGGUGUGCUGCCUGCCCUCGCUGAACUGGAUUAAAUCUGCACUCUAGUGGGUGUGGCAGCCAGGGGAAGAACCUCAAUGGCUCUGCCAGGGUCUGUGUCAGCAUGCCUGGAAUAGGUCAGAACAAUGGCCCCCACCAAUGUCUCAGUCUCCAGAGAGGUCCCUCCUCUCACCAAGAUGUCCCCAGAGCCCACCAGAUUAGCCCUGAGCUAACAUCUGCCGCCAAUCCUCCUCUUUUUGCUGAGGAAGACUGGCCCUGAGCUAACAUCCGUGUGCAACUUCCUCCACUUUAUAUGUACGAUGCCUGCCACAGCAUGGCCUGACAUGUGGAAGAUGAGUCCUGAGCUAACAUCUGCCGCCAAUCCUCCUCAUUUUGCUGAGGAAGACUGGCCCUGAGCUAACAUCCGUGCCCAUCUUCCUCUACUUUAUAUGUGGGAUGCAUGCUACAGCAUGGCUUGUCAAGCAGUGCCAUGCCCGCACCUUGGAUGUGAACCAGUGAACCCUGGGCCACCAAAGCGGAACUUGCACACUUAACCGUUGCACCACUGGGCCGGCUCCUCAACUACAGUCUUAGAUCCUGUAUUUUAUCUGAAGAUGUAACUCAUUUAUAUUUAUCACAAUUACUGAAAUAUCUGAUUCAUGCCUACUAUUUUAUUUUAUGCUUUGCUUAUGUAUUACAUUUUAUAUAUUUUUUCUCCUUCUUUGCCUUAUUUUGGAUUAAUUGUAUUACUUCCUUUUUUUCUCAUAUUAAUAUUUUUCUUCUACUGGCUUGGACAUUGUGUAUGCUAUUUAUAGUAUUUUAGGAAAUAGAAAUUUUAAUGUGAAUACUAAUUUUAACAAAGUAUAAAUAAACCUUAAAAUUAAUGUUUUCUUUCUCUUCUUUGGAACAACACAGCCAUGAUGACUUUUGUCCCAAUAUGUAUAGUAUUCUAUAAUUUAGAUAUUAUCAAAUGUAUCAAUAUUUGCUUGAAUUUGCUCACACAUUUACCGAUUUCUUUGCUUAACAUUUCUUCUAGCAUCUGAAACCUUCCCUCUUGAUCAUCAUUCCUUUUUAAGGACAUCUGUUAAAAUUCCACUUAGUGAGGUGUUAUUGCUAGUAACUCUUUUGUUUUUUGUCUGAAAAUAUGUCUAUUUCAUUCUUGUUCCUGAAAGGAAAUUUCCUUGAGAAUAUAUUCUAGGUGAAUAUUUUUUCUAACACACUCAGGACAUAGUUUUAUCAUCUUACAUCUUUUGUUGUUGUUGACAAAUCCAUUUUAUUGUUGCUUCUUUGCAGAAUGUUCAUUUUUCUGUCUGGCUACUUUUUAGAUCUUUUAGUUUUUGGUAAUAAGCUACUUCGUUCUCAUGUAUUUAAAUGUAAAUUUCUUUUCAUUUAUUCAAAUUGAGAUUCUUUGGACUCCCUGAAUCUGAAGAUUCGUGUUUUCUAUCAGUUCUGAAACUUACUAGCCAGUACAUUUUCAUCGAUCUGUUGCUACCUUGUUAUUAUAUAUAGUAUGAAAAUCAACCAGAAAGAAGAAAAUUUCAUAAAAUGUGAUGGCAGAAACUGUUUAGAAUACAAAAGAUAAAAUAAACAUAACAAUUUUUGAAACAGCUAGAGUUAUAUUAAUAAAAUAAGAAAAUCAAGUAAAGAGAUUCUAGUUUCUGGUUUCCAUAGAUGUUUAUGCAAAAUGUUAUGGCAGGUGUUUUUCUGUACCUGAACUGCAUGUCUCUAAUUACUGCAGUAUUUUAUUUGAUGAAAAUCUAUCCAAGCUUUAGCCUCCUCAAAAGAUUGUUUCUGGAAAAUGCCACUCAAACCACACAACAUCCUUGUUUGUGUUUUAUACUUUUGAACAAUUCCUUGUGUUCAGAAAUUGUAAUAUAAACUUUCCCAAUAUCACUGCACAGCCAUAUCUGUGAUUCCAUGAUCUCACAGUCCGGUCUAAAAUUGGAUUUAAAGUGGUAUACAGACAUUUUUGGAAAAAGUAGACUAUAUUUUCAUUUUGUGUGCGUCAUUAUUACAUAGAAAACACUCCCCUACACAACUGUUGUUUUCUAAAUGGGUCUUUAGUUCGGUAUUGUGUUUAUUUACAUCUGCAAAAUCUGUGAAUGUACAUCUAUUUAGUUACUCUUUUUGAAGACUCAAGACUUAUAUAUAUACACUAGCUUAAAAGUACAGUUCACAUGUUAAGAAUAUUGUGAUAGGCAGCUAAGUAGAAAUAAAACUUUUAAAAUGCGUGUCCUGAUGUGUGUUGUGGUAACCCUUUCAGAUCUUCCUUCUGGAAAAGAAAAGACAAUGGGGUUCAGAUAAAAGCACAAGAUUGCUUUUUACUACAUAGAUGUUAAAGUGUAUUUUUUCAUUCAUAGUUAUAUUUGAUGCUUGAUGUUUUAUUGGCUAGAUAUCAAAUGCAAAUCAUUUGUAAUAUGGGAAAUAUGCAGACUCAAUAAAAAUCUUUGGAAAUGCUUAUAGACAA
ensembl:lncRNA